CCUACGGGUGGCAGCAGUGGGGAAUAUUGCACAAUGGGGGAAACCCUGAUGCAGCGACGCCGCGUGAGUGAAGAAGUAUUUCGGUAUGUAAAGCUCUAUCAGCAGGGAAGAAAAUGACGGUACCUGAUUUAGAAGCCCCGGCUAACUACGUGCCAGUAGCCGCGGUAAUACGUAGGGGGCAAGCGUUAUCCGGAUUUACUGGGUGUAAAGGGGGCGUCGACGGGAGGACAAGUCUGGAGUGAAAUGCCGGGGCUUAACCCCGGAACUGCUUUGGAAACUGUGCAGCCAGAGUGCAGGAGAGGUAAGUGGAAUUCCUAGUGUAGCGGGGAAAUGCGUAGAUAUUAGGAGGAACACCAGUGGCGAAGGCGGCUUACUGGACUGUAACUGACGUUGAGGCUCGAAAGCGUGGGGAGCAAACAGGAUUAGAUACCCCGGUAGUC
rnacentral:rRNA from 1 species